UACAGAGGUCUCAAGCGUUUGUUUCGGAAUCACUGGGCGUAAAGGGUGUGUAGGCUGCGUGUUAAGUCAGAUGUGAAAUCCCGGGGCUCAACCUCGGAACUGCAUCCGAUACUGGCAUGCUAGAGAAUUGGAGAGGAGUCUAGAAUUCACGGUGUAGCAGUGAAAUGCGUAGAUAUCGUGAGGAAUACCAAGUGCGAAGGCAGGACUUCCUGGACAUUUUUCUGACGCUGAGACACGAAGGCUAGGGGAGCAAACGGG
rnacentral:rRNA from 1 species